GACGAACGCUGGCGGCGUGCUUAACACAUGCCAGUCGAACGGAAAGGCCCUGCUUUUGUGGGGUGCUCGAGUGGCGAACGGGUGUGUAACACGUGAGUAACCUGCCCUUGACUUUGGGAUAACUUCAGGAAACUGGGGCUAAUACCGGAUAGGAGCUCCUGCUGCAUGGUGGGGGUUGGAAAGUUUCGGCGGUUGGGGAUGGACUCGCGGCUUAUCAGCUUGUUGGUGGGGUAGUGGCUUACCAAGGCUUUGACGGGUAGCCGGCCUGAGAGGGUGACCGGCGAAAUUAGUACUGAGAUACGGCCCAGACGCCUACGGUAGGCAGCAGUGGGGAAUAUUGCACAGUGGGCGGAAGCCUGUUGCAGCAACGCCGCGUGCGGGAUAACGGCCUUCGAGUUGUAAACCGCUUUGGACUGUGACGAGGCGUGAGUGACGGUAAUGGGUAAAGAAGCAACGGCUAACUACGUG
rnacentral:rRNA from 1 species